rnacentral:rRNA from 1 species
UACGGGGGGUGCGAGCGUUGUCCGGAAUCACUGGGCGUAAAGGGCGCGUAGGUGGUUUGAUAAGGGUGUGGUGAAAGCCCGGGGCUCAACCCCGGGUCUGCCGUGCCGACUGUCAAACUCGAGGGCUGUAGAGGCAGACGGAAUUCCGGGUGUAGCGGUGGAAUGCGUAGAGAUCCGGAGGAAGACCGGUGGCGAAGGCGGUCUGCUGGGCAGUUCUGACACUGAUGCGCGACAGCGUGGGGAGCAAACAGG